GACGAACGCUGGCGGCGUGCCUAAUACAUGCAAGUCGAACGAGAGCGACCGGUGCUUGCACUGGUCAAUCUAGUGGCGAACGGGUGAGUAACACGUGGGUAACCUGCCCAUCAGAGGGGGAUAACAUCCGGAAACGGAUGCUAAAACCGCAUAGGUCUUCGAGCCGCAUGGCUUGAAGAGGAAAAGAGGCGCAAGCUUCUGCUGAUGGAUGGGCCCGCGGUGCAUUAGCUAGUUGGUGAGGUAACGGCUCACCAAGGCCGUGAUGCAUAGCCGACCUGAGAGGGUGAUCGGCCACAUUGGGACUGAGACACGGCCCAAACUCCUACGGGAGGCAGCAGUAGGGAAUCUUCCGCAAUGGACGCAAGUCUGACGGAGCAACGCCGCGUGAGUGAAGAAGGUUUUCGGAUCGUAAAACUCUGUUGUUAGAGAAGAACAAGUGCUAGAGUAACUGUUAGCGCCUUGACGGUAGCUAACCAGAAAGCCACGGCUAACUACGUG
rnacentral:rRNA from 1 species